GGCUUCAUAGCUGAUCAGUUGGUAAAGCAUCGCACGUGCACCAAUAAUGCAAAGAUCAUGGGUUCAAAUCCCUUUGAAGUCC